rnacentral:rRNA from 1 species
AGCAUAUCAAUAAGCGGAGGAAAAGAAACUAACAAGGAUUCCCCUAGUAGCGGCGAGCGAACAGGGAUUAGCCCAGAACCGAAUCCUGUAGCCUUGGCUGCUAGGAAAUGUGGUCUUCGGUGCAUAUCAUGCGGCGUAGCGGAGUUGUCUCAAGUCCACGUGAUUGUGGCAUCAAGCCCAGAGAGGGUGUAAGGCCCGUAGAGACGACACGUUGCGUUGAUAGAUGUGUGCCUAGAGUAGGGUUGUUUGGGAUUGCAGCCCAAAGUAGGUGGUAAACUCCAUCUAAGGCUAAAUACAACACGAGUCCGAUAGCGAACAAGUACCAUGAGGGAAAGUUGAAAAGAACUUUGAAGAGAGAGUUCAAUAGUGCGUGAAACCGUUCAGAGGCAAACGGGCGGAGCCGAAGGAAGCGCGCGACAUUUGUUCUUCCUGCUGCAUAUGCUGGGUGAUCUUAGCACUCAUUGUUCGAGGCGGAUUCUCGGUGUGUUGCGGCUGGGUUGUGCUAUUGUUGUGUGUUGACACCAGGAUCGGUGAUUAGAUUGGCCUGUCGCUGUGCGGGAAGGUAUCCCAUUGCCUCUGGUGAUGGGGAUUAUAGCCCGUGAGUGUAGCGCCAGUCGAGCACCGAGUCGCAGUUAAAAUGCAAUAUGCGCGUUACAAGAUGUUAUAACACGCUGCUGCAGUUUGUAGAAUCCUUGGAUACUGCGGACUGUUGGUGGUGUUGUGGUGACGUCCUCUGUGAUGUGUGUGAGCAAUCUCUGGUGUUUAAGUAGGCAUUCUGCCCGACCCGUCUUGAAACACGGACCAAGGAGUUUAGCAUGUGCGCGAGUCAUGGGGUUCUACGAAACCUAAAGGCGCAAUGAAAGUAAAGGUCUGUCUUGGGCAGGCUAAGGUAGGAUCCUGAUUAGCUGCAUUCUGUGUGUACGCGGUUGGGCGCACUACUGACUCGUUCCAUGCUUUAUAAAGUGGGGCGACGUAAUAGCGCACAUGCUGAGACCCGAAAGAUGGUGAACUAUGCUUGCAUAGGCUGAAGCCAGAGGAAACUCUGGUGGAGGGCCGUAGCGGUUCUGACGUGCAAAUCGAUCGUCAAAUGUGAGUAUAGGGGCGAAAGACUAAUCGAACCAUCUAGUAGCUGGUUCUCUCCGAAGUUUCCCUCAGGAUAGCUGGCACUCGGGAAACAAACAGUUUUAUCCGGUAAAGCGAAUGAUUAGAAGUAUUGGGGAUGAAAUGUCCUCAACUUAUUCUCAAACUUUAAAUGGGUGAGAAGCUUGACUCUCUUGAACUGGAGUCAGGCAUUGAAUGUGAGUGCCCAGUGGGCCAUUUUUGGUAAGCAGAACUGGCGCUGUGGGAUGAACCAAACGUCUGGUUAAGGCGCCUAACACGACGCUCAUGAGAUACCACAAAAGGUGUUGGUUGAUACAGACAGCAGGACGGUGGCCAUGGAAGUUGGAAUCCGCUAAGGAGUGUGUAACAACUCACCUGCCGAAUCAACCAGCCCUGAAAAUGGAUGGCGCUGGAGCGUCGGGCCUAUACCAGACUGUUACCGCAAGCUGCAUGCAGGACGUGGUAACAAGUAGGAGAGCGGUGUGGUGAGCAUUGAAGCCUCGGUCGUGAGACUGGGUGGAGCCGCCACAGGUGCAGAUCUUGGUGGUAGUAGCAAAUAUUCAAGUGAGAUUCUUGAA